rnacentral:rRNA from 1 species
GGGGAAUAUUGCACAAUGGGCGAAAGCCUGAUGCAGCAACGCCGCGUGAGUGAUGAAGGCCUUCGGGUUGUAAAGCUCUGUCUUCUGGGACGAUAAUGACGGUACCGGAGGAGGAAGCCACGGCUAACUACGUGCCAGCAGCCGCGGUAAUACGUAGGUGGCAAGCGUUGUCCGGAUUUACUGGGCGUAAAGGAUGCGUAGGCGGAUACUUAAGUCAGAUGUGAAAAUCCCGGGCUUAACUUGGGAACUGCAUUUGAAACUGGGUAGCUAGAGUGCGGGAGAGGAAGGCGGAAUUCCUGGUGUAGUGGUGAAAUGCGUAGAUAUCAGGAGGAACACCGGCGGUGUAGACGGCUUGCUAGACCAUAACUGACGCUGAGGCACGAAAGCGUGGGUAGCAAACA